AAACCCUUCCCCCACUCUCCAUGUGGGGCGAGGGGGCACUCUUCAUCAAAUCCUACUUUCGGGACAUCUGUGUCACUGUGAAUGUAAACAAGCCCCUUGGCUCCCAUUCAAGCAUUGUUGCAAAUUUUCCUCUUCUGGACACUCCUGCUCCAGGCUGUGGGCCACUGCAAAGAACCCUUCUUCCUUUAGGGAUUUCUCUGUCUAAACAGGAUUUAUGAUGAUCCCUUGGCAAGGAUCUUUGAAUCACUGCCUUUCACAGUAUGGCAAAAGAGUAUUUCAGGAGAAUCUACCUCUAACAAGUAAUACAUCCCUGAAGAUUUAUCUGUCUUGAUGAAAUGGACACAGCCUGGUGCUCCCAGGAUACUGUGUCUGGACAGUUGCUGCUGCGGCUGCAAAGCCAGUGUAACAGACAUGGCAUUGAAUGGAUUAGCGGUGUGACCUCGGGCAGUUGUUUAACCUCUCCGCAUAAAUGGUCUCAUCUAUAACAUGGAGAUGAUGAGGUCAUAUUCCCGGGGCUAUCAUUAAGAUUGGUUUAAAGAAGGUCACUAAGGAAGGUUAUAUUAUUGUUGUGAGAUAACUCACACAUAUGUAUAUAGGAUACGUGAGUAAUAGGUACGUUUCCCAAAG